AUUCGUCCAAUUGAAGCAGAGGACAGUGGCGGACGGGUGAGUAACGCGUGAGGAACCUGCCUUCAGGAUGGGGACAACAGACGGAAACGACUGCUAAUACCGCAUAACACAUAGGGGUCGCAUGGCCUUUAUGUCAAAGAUUUAUCGCUUCAAGAUGGCCUCGCGUCUGAUUAGCUGGUUGGCGGGGUAACGGCCCACCAAAGCGACGAUCAGUAGCCGGCCUGAGAGGGUGAACGGCCACAUUGGGACUGAGACACGGCCCAAACUCC
rnacentral:rRNA from 1 species